rnacentral:rRNA from 1 species
GACGAACGCUGGCGGCGUGCUUAACACAUGCAAGUCGAACGAAGUGGCGAACGGGUGAGUAACGCGUAAUCAACCUGCCCUUCAGAGGGGGACAACAGUUGGAAACGACUGCUAAUACCGCAUACUGAAGGAGGUGAUUGCGUCUGAUUAGCUAGUUGGAGGGGUAACGGCCCACCAAGGCGAUGAUCAGUAGCCGGUCUGGGAGGGUGAACGGGCACAGUGGGACUGGGGCACGGGCCAGACUCCUACGGGAGGCAGCAGGGGGGGAACUUCCGCAAUGGAGGAAAGUCUGACGGAAGAACGCCGCGUGGGAGAAAACGGCCUUCGGGUUGUAAAACUCUGUUAAUCGGGACGCGGUACCGGAAUAGAAAGCCACGGCUAACUACGUGCCAGCAGCCGCGGUAAUUC